rnacentral:rRNA from 1 species
UACGGAGGAUCCAAGCGUUAUCCGGAUUUAUUGGGUUUAAAGGGUGCGUAGGUGGCUUGUUAAGUCAGGGGUGAAAGACGGUAGCUUAACUAUCGCAGUGCCCUUGAUACUGAUGAGCUUGAAUGAACUAGAGGUAGGCGGAAUGUGACAAGUAGCGGUGAAAUGCAUAGAUAUGUCACAGAACACCAAUUGCGAAGGCAGCUUACUAUGGUUUGAUUGACACUGAGGCACGAAAGCGUGGGGAUCAAACAGG